rnacentral:rRNA from 1 species
GCAAGUCGAGCGAAAACGAUGUAGCUUGCUACAGGCGUCGAGCGGCGGACGGGUGAGUAACGCGUAGGAAUCUGCCUAGUAGUGGGGGACAACAUGUGGAAACGCAUGCUAAUACCGCAUAAUCCCUACGGGGGAAAGGAGGGGCUUCACUUUCUUAGAGAGUGGACCUUUCGCUAUUAGAUGAGCCUGCGUGAGAUUAGCUAGUUAGUAGGGUAAAGGCCUACCAAGGCGACGAUCUCUAGCUGGUCUGAGAGGAUGACC